AUGCCAACGCAGUCUUCAAUAUCCUCCCCACUGUUUAUUUCAGUAUUUAAAAGAAUGUAUUUUUCCAGAUGGUCCCUGAAUGCUUUGAUUCUGUGAGAUCCUCGUGGGAGGGGAGGAGGUCUUGGCGCAGCCUGUUCGACAUCUGGACUGAUUAAAGGAGUUUUGCCCAGUGCCGCAUUGAUGAUGAGUGGGACAUGGUCAGAGGAUAAUUCGGAUACCGAUGAGAUGGAGAUGUGGGUAGGGAGGAAACCCGAAUACACGGCAAAAUCUAUUGCCUUUUUGGGAGAGGGAUUUGCCUUUUUGUUAAAGGGAUAACAAGUGGCCUCUCCUGUAGCAACUACGAGCGUUUCCCCACAUCUGGUUUUUUGCAUUCCAGUCCCCCGCAAUGAUGAACCUCAGUGAUUGUGGAUUACAUAGUUGGUCUAUCCCUUUGAGGAGGCGAGGAAAAUCGUCGUUUUGCCAUUUCACAGAUGGUGGGCAAUAGAUGGAGGCAAGUAUGACAUUUUGUACGGCAAUAGAGCAGAUUUGUACCGCUUCUUCAUUUCUAGGUACAAGGACCGAAUGGGCAAGGUCGCUACGAAUUAUUGUCGCAGCACCCCCUCUGCGCUGCGACACCGGAUUUAGGGCAGUGUAAGCCUUGUAUCCAGGGAUAUCAAUGGUCCAUGUCCUAAUUUCGCUGACGAGCAGGACGUCAACAUCACGUCCCCUUAAGAACGCUGAGAGCUCGUCAAUUUUGUUAUGGAUGCCCCCAGCGUUCCAGAACACAAUCUUUAAGCUCUUGGGAGCUUUAGGCAUAGGGACAGUCAUUGGCGUCUAGGCUGUUAUUUAAAAUCGAAGCCAUUUCGAUUGUCUGGAUAGAGCAGGAUAAGUUGGCUAGAAAGUCAUUGUCCGGUGAGGCCUCUGUUAUGUCAAACAUAUUUGUAAUUUUAAUAAACAGUGUUGACAAUU